ACGCACGCUGGCGGCGUGCUUAACACCUGCAAGUCGAACGGAAAGGCCCUGCUUUUGUGGGGUGCUCGAGUGGCGAACGGGUGAGUAACACGUGAGUAACCUGCCCUUGACUUUGGGAUAACUUCAGGAAACUGGGGCUAAUACCGGAUAGGAGCUCCUGCUGCAUGGUGGGGGUUGGAAAGUUUCGGCGGUUGGGGAUGGACUCGCGGCUUAUCAGCUUGUUGGUGGGGUAGUGGCUUACCAAGGCUUUGACGGGUAGCCGGCCUGAGAGGGUGACCGGCCACAUUGGGACUGAGAUACGGCCCAGACUCCUACGGGAGGCAGCAGUGGGGAAUAUUGCACAAUGGGCGGAAGCCUGAUGCAGCAACGCCGCGUGCGGGAUGACGGCCUUCGGGUUGUAAACCGCUUUCGCCUGUGACGAAGCGUGAGUGACGGUAAUGGGUAAAGAAGCACCGGCUAACUACGUG
rnacentral:rRNA from 1 species